rnacentral:lncRNA from 1 species
CGACCUCGUGUCGUCCGCGGGGUCCAUCGGGGCCUUCCCUCGAUCGGCCGCCCCGACCGACGGAACCGACAGGGAGGGGAUGCUCGAGUUUGAACCGGCACCCCCCGUUGCGGCCGCAGACACCGCCGGAUGGUGUUCGGCUUCCCGAACGUCAUCUGGCGCCACCCCCGCCGGCGAGGCCGCCGAUGUUCCUUCGGCC